UUUCCGUAGGUGAACCUGCGGAAGGAUCAUUACAGCGUAACCUGGUCGUUCGCGGCCGGCUACCCGUCCUCUGUCAUGCGAUUAUUGUGAGCACUUCCCAGGAGGUGUUGCGCGGGGGAUGGCCCUUCGGGGUCUGAAUCUGCGUGACCGCCUGGGGUCUUUUUUUGCAAACUCUUGCGAGAAGCGUGAAGUCUGAAAUUGUUACAAACAAAAAAGAAGCAAAACUUUCAACAACGGAUCUCUUGGCUCUGGCAUCGAUGAAGAACGCAGC
rnacentral:misc_RNA from 1 species